rnacentral:rRNA from 1 species
GACGAACGCUGGCGGCGCGCCUAACACAUGCAAGUCGAACGAGCGAGAGGAGGUUUACUUUCUCAAGCGAGUGGCGAACGGGUGAGUAACGCGUGAGGAACCUGCCUCAAAGAGGGGGACAACAGUUGGAAACGACUGCUAAUACCGCAUAAGCCCACGGCUCGGCAUCGAGCAGAGGGAAAAGGAGCAAUCCGCUUUGAGAUGGCCUCGCGUCCGAUUAGCUGGUUGGUGAGGUAACGGCCCACCAAGGCGACGAUCGGUAGCCGGACUGAGAGGUUGAACGGCCACAUUGGGACUGAGACACGGCCCAGACUCCAACGGGAGGCAGCAGUGGGGAAUAUUGCACAAUGGGGGAAACCCUGAUGCAGCGACGCCGCGUGGAGGAAGAAGGUCUUCGGAUUGUAAACUCCUGUUGUUGAGGAAGAUAAUGACGGUACUCAACAAGGAAGUGACGGCUAACUACGUGCCAGCAGCCGCGGUAAAACGUAGGUCACAAGCGUUGUCCGGAAUUACUGGGUGUAAAGGGAGCGCAGGCGGGAAGACAAGUUGGAAGUGAAAUCCAUGGGCUCAACCCAUGAACUGCUUUCAAAACUGUUUUUCUUGAGUAGUGCAGAGGUAGGCGGAAUUCCCGGUGUAGCGGUGGAAUGCGUAGAUAUCGGGAGGAACACCAGUGGCGAAGGCGGCCUAUUGGGCACCAACUGACGCUGAGGCUCGAAAGUGUGGGUAGCAAACAGGAUUAGAUACCCUGGUAGUCCACACUGUAAACGAGGAUUAUUAGGUGUGGGGGGGAUUGACCCCUCCAGUGCCGCAGUUAACCCAAUAAGUAAUCCACCUGGGGAGUAGGACCGCAAGGUUGAAACUCAAAGGAAUUGACGGGGGCCCGCACAAGCAGUGGAGUAUGUGGUUUAAUUCGACGCAACGCGAAGAACCUUACCAAGUCUUGACAUCCUGCGACGGUGCUGGAAACAGUACUUUCCUUCGGGACGCAGAGACAGGUGGUGCAUGGUUGUCGUCAGCUCGUGUCGUGAGAUGUUGGGUUAAGUCCCGCAACGAGCGCAACCCUUAUGGUCAGUUACUACGCAAGAGGACUCUGGCCAGACUGCCGUUGACAAAACGGAGGAAGGUGGGGAGGACGUCAAAUCAUCAUGCCCUCUAUGACUUGGGCUACACACGUACUACAAUGGCGUUAAACAAAGAGAAGCAAGACCGCGAGGCGGAGCAAAACUCAGAAACAACGUCCCAGUUCGGACUGCAGGCUGCAACUCGCCUGCACGAAGUCGGAAUUGCUAGUAAUCGCAGAUCAGCAUGCUGCGGUGAAUACGUUCCCGGGCCUUGCACA